GUGUAGCCAGAUCCUUUUCACUCUCUAUCCUUGUUUCAUUUUGUGGUUCACCGGAUUCAUCAUCGAGACAAGGGACAGACGAACGACCUGCUAGCUAGCCAAGCUAGUCGGUACAGCUCGGUAAGCUAGCUACGAAAACAGCAGCAUCCUAGUUACCAUAGCUACCACUACAUCAUCACCGGCUGUCUACAUUUCUUGUGGACCGAUGGUGCUCCCCGGUUGUUUCUUCCACCUGUUAAAUCCGUGGAGGGCUUCUCCCUCUCUUGUUGACGGAUGCUGGAUACCUCUGUCCAGUUCUCCUCUCUUCACUAGAUGGACGGUAACUUUAGUGUUUAAACCCUCUGUGUCCAAGGACCGAACUUUUGAAUAUUAUUUUCGGGGCGCCUCAACAGCAGGUAUUGAACACCGGGUAAAUAAUCACUAGUCAGAACCUCAACCUCAGUAAACAUUCAUUAUAUAAAACAUCUUAAUAUCUGAUAUUGRGAGUAAACAACCUCGGAAUAGAAAAGACAAGAGUGCGUCUU